rnacentral:rRNA from 1 species
AACGAACGCUGGCGGCAUGCCUAACACAUGCAAGUCGAACGAAAUCUUCGGAUCUAGUGGCCUAUGGUUUCGUCACCCGACGGAAUCUUCCCCUUUCGUCGGCAUAACUGUGAGACUUUACUGCUAUUACCGAACGAUAGCUUCUGACCGAUGAUUUUUCGGGCAGGGAUGUGCCGGCGUGGGAUUAGGUAGUUGGUGGGGUUAUAGCCUACCAAGCCGACCAUCCUCAGAUGGUCAGUGAGGAUGAUCAGCCACACUGGGACUGGGACGCGGCCCAGACUCCUACGGGAGGCAGGAGUGGCGAAUAUUGGACAAUCGGCGGAAGCAUGAUCGAGUAAGGCCGGGUGAGUGAUGAAGGCCUUAGAGUUGUAAAGCGCUUUUAACAGGGAUGAUAAUGACAGUACCUGAAGAAAAAGCCCCGGCUAACUCCGUG